GAUCUUUUGGAUAUUCCAUCAUAAAUUUAAUACAAUACAGAGAAGAUUAGCAUGGCCCCUGCGUAAGGAUGACAUGAAAAUCUACUGGUAGUAUUUU
rnacentral:snRNA from 11 species